UACGUAGGGUGCAAGCGUUAUCCGGAAUUAUUGGGCGUAAAGAGCUCGUAGGCGGUUUGUCGCGUCUGCUGUGAAAACUGGGGGCUCAACCCCCAGCCUGCAGUGGGUACGGGCAGACUAGAGUGCGGUAGGGGAGAUUGGAAUUCCUGGUGUAGCGGUGGAAUGCGCAGAUAUCAGGAGGAACACCGAUGGCGAAGGCAGAUCUCUGGGCCGUAACUGACGCUGAGACGCGAAAGCGUGGGGAGCAAACAGG
rnacentral:rRNA from 1 species